GUAGUACUCCCUCCGUCACAAAAUUCUUGUCUUAGAUUUGUCUAGAUACUGAUGUAUCUAAUACUAAAACGUGACUUGAUACAUCCAUAUCUAGACAAAUUUAAGACAAGAAUUUUGGGACGGAGGGAGUAUAUG
rnacentral:pre_miRNA from 1 species